CUCUAGUCUGAGGAGACAAGACCAGCUGAGGAUCCAGCGAGGGGAAGAGUGGACAUGAAUGAAGUGGAAACAUGUUUGCAUCCUGGUGCCCCGUGGGCAGCAGAGUAACUGUCUUCCUGAAGAGGAUUAACCCAAAGCUAAACAGAAUCAAGCUGCUUCGCUGAGCAUGGAGGUCAAAGCAAGUGUCAGAUCUGGAUCUGUUAGCUUGAAGAAGCUGCACCCUAAAAAACCAAACGAAGGCCGGAGAGAUGGCACAGCCAGUAAGGGCGCUGGCCACCAACCCUGACAACCUGAGUUCAACCCCAAGAACUCUACAUGUGUGCUGUGACAUGCUUGUGUCCAUCCCCACCGGUAAAUAAAAAUAAAA